CUACAAAUUAUAAUAUGAAAUAAAUAAUAAGCAUAUCAAAGAAAUAUAAAUAAGAUAAUAUAUUAUCAUAAUAUAAAUCAUGUUUAAUUGAAUGCAAUCCUUUAAUAUUCUUAAUUAGUAUAUGUUAAUCUCUCUCUCUCUCUCUCUCUCUCUCUCUCUCUCUCUCUCUAUAUAUAUAUAUAUAUAUAUAUAUAUAUAUCACAAAUUUAUUGAUGCUUACAUAAAUUCUAUUUGAACUAUUUUAUAUCAAUUAUGUGAUGAUAAAUUUUGAAUAUGUGAACUCAAAAACUAAAAUGGUUAAAUGUAAUUCUAAACAUUGGGUUGAAAUCAACUAUCACUAAUAUAUUAGAGAUUUGAAGUAUUUUCCCACUUAAUUGGGUAAAGUAGUAAUUUAAAUGUAUUAAACACUAAGAUGUAUUUCAUUUUUAAUUUCAACCUCAAUUAAAUUUUUUUUUUUUCAGAAAAACUAAAAUCUCAAGUGUUAAUACCUCAUUUUUACCCCCUGUAAUGUUUCUCUUGAAAUUUUGUUUGUGUUGGAGACAAAAAGAUAGCGAGUCAAUGACUUGCAUUGUAUAUCCCAACAGAGAAAAGCUUUAUACGUCAAGCUUCAUUUCCUUUAACUAACACCGAGCUUUUUCAAAGAUUCAACAUCAAACCCUAGAAUGGGAAAUACGUCGGCCUAAAUUUGACAAAUUUGAUUUGAUCAAUCAAUCAAAAGACUUAAAACCCACUUUCAAAAUUGUAUGAUGAUACCGUACGGCAAUGCAAUUGUUAUUCAAAUUUCCUCCCUUCUUAAACGUUAACCUAACUCGUGGGCACGACUUAGAGGAUUCAUCAAUGCAUGACUACGGCCUGUGCAUGGCAUUUUCUUAUUCAAAAAAAAUAAAUAAAUAAAAAGUAUAUUGUUCAAACUUACGGCGCCCAAAGAAAGGGAAAAAAAAGGAUAAAAUUAAUGAGAAUAAAAGAUAUUCUCCAAUAAGAUCCAUUUUUUUCAUUCAAAAGGUUACAAGAAAAGUUGUGUUUUGUUCACAAGUUUAUAUUAAACAACAGGUUUUACAACGUGGCAUAAGCUAGAGUUUCAACACUGCAAGAGCAAUAAUUCUUUCCUUAAUUUGUCAAAAUAAACAUGCUACUUGGUUGAAAGAAAUUGAGGGUUCAAUUUGAUUUUCUCAAUGAAUGAUGAAAGCUACAUACUAGUUGGCAGAUUGUUAUUUUACAUCAAACUCAACGUAAUGGCAAAAAUAUGAUGAAUAUAAAUUAAUAUAUAGAUACAUUAAACUACGAAGAAAGAAAAGUACUAAACCCAAUCUCCCGAACAUGCAUGAAAAAAACUUCUAAAACCACCGACUUGUUAUAAUGUAAAAUAGUCAAUAACUUACACUUCUAAUUUCGGCUACUUGCAUCUGGAAAAUGAAAAGAAAUUAAGCCUUAAUAUAUAACUUUCUAUUUUUUUUUUUUUUUUAUAUACGAUGAUCGAGUACGAAUGUUUAUAGGCUUGAAUUCACAUAUCAAAAUUUGGUCAAUCCCCACCGGCUUCCUAACUUAAAUAGUUUAUUGGAGUAGGGUUAGUUCUUAUCGAAAGCAAUUUUCCGAAUAAUAUUAUCACUAUAUUAUGGAUAUAAAUCUCUGAUAAAUCCAUGACUGAAUAUGCCACAAAAUAAUUUUUUUUUUAAAAAAAAAAAAAAAAGAAGAAAGAAAGAAAGAAAGAAAGAAAAACAAACGAUCAAGCAAGCAAACCGAGAGAUGCCUUAUGAUGAUAUAAGAUUAAUAACUAAUAGUCAAGAUAUAGCUUCUAAUUAAGUCCAAAAAAUAUGAAAGCAAAAAUUGUUCUAUGUGCUGUCAACGGAUGCAGGUAUCAAUAUAAAAACAUCAUCAUCGUCGUCAAUAACGUUUAGGCUCGUCAAGUACGUUCAGUCCUCUUUCAAAGAUAAACAACACCCAAUGUUUUUUCACGUCCAAAACGACGACUUUUCUUGGUCUUUUAUUGCUGCUAUCAACUAACACUUAAUUCAUUAAUUCAUCCUUCAUUUUGAAUCCUCAAUAGUAUUAAUUUCUCUUUUCAAGGCCAAAGCUAAAACUGAAAAUCCGGGAAAGCCAAAAC
rnacentral:lncRNA from 1 species